GUAAGGAAUAUUGCACAAUGGGGGAAACCCUGAUGCAGCAACGCCGCGUGAGUGACGAAGGCCUUCGGGUUGUAAAACUCUUUUCUGAGGGAUGAGGAAGGACAGUACCUUAGGAAUAAGUCUCGGCUAACUACGUGCCAGCAGCCGCGGUAAAACGUAGGAGGCGAGCGUUAUCCGGAUUUACUGGGCGUAAAGGGCAAGUAGGCGGUGGUUCAAGUUGGGCGUGACAGAUCCUGGCUUAACUGGGAGAGGUCGUUCAAAACUGGAUCACUAGAGGGCAGGAGAGGGGAGCGGAAUUCCUAGUGUAGCGGUGGAAUGCUCAGAUAUUAGGAAGAACACCAGUGGCGAAAGCGGCUUUCUGGCCUGCACCUGACGCUGAAGGGCGAAAGCUAGGGGAGCGAACGGGCUUAGAAACCCCAGUAGUCC
rnacentral:rRNA from 1 species